CACUUCUCCAACACAUCUUUAACACGUGUCCAACACAUCUUUAACACGUCUCCAACACUCUCCAACACAUCUUUAACAUGUCUUCAGCACUUCUCCAGCACGUCUCCACACCUUCAACAUGUCUCCAACACACCUUUAACAUGUCUCCACAUCUGCAACACGUCUCCAGCACGUCUUCAACACGUCUCCACAUCUGCGAUACGUCUCCAACACGUCUUCAACACAUCUUCAACAUUCUCCAGCACAUCUCCAACACGUCUUCAACACGUCUACAGCACGUCUUUAACAUGUCUCCACAUCUGCAACACGUCUUUAACACGCCAUUAACAUUUCUUCAGCAUGUCUCCACACCUUCAACAUGUCACCAACAUGUCUUCAACACGUCUCCAACACAGCUUCAACACGUCUCCAACACGUCUCCAACACAUCUUCAACACUUCUCCAGCACGUCUCCAACACGUCUUCAACUGUCUCCACAUCUGCAGCACGUCUCCAACACAUCUCCAACAGAUCUUCAACAUGUCUUCAACAUGUCUUUAACACGGGAGGAAAAGUUCUGGACAUUACUCACCUGUUGCUCCGAUCACUUCCUGUAAUCCUCCAACUGAAAACAUGUUCUAAAGGUCCAACAUGAUCAAUAACAUUACUGUUUCAUUGAGUGACAUCAUGUGUAAUUUUAAUAAAUGCCGCUGCAGUAUUUUCUUAGACCAGCUGUUUGUUUACAUGACCUUCCUGUUUGUUUACUAACAAUGAUGAUGUAAUCACAUCGACACUGAUUAAAACCUAAAUAAAACCAAAAAAACGUUUUUUUCUA